CUAGGUAUUGCAAACGGUUAAUGCACUCGGCUGCUAACUGAAAGGUUGGAGGUUUGAGUCCUCCUCCUAAA
rnacentral:tRNA from 1 species